rnacentral:rRNA from 1 species
GCAUGUCUAAGUACGUGCCUAAGAAAGGUGAAACCGCGAAUGGCUCAUUAAAUCAGUUAUGGUUCCUUAGAUCGUACCUUACUACUUGGAUAACUGUGGUAAUUCUAGAGCUAAUACAUGCAGCAGAGCUCCGACCUUCGGGGACGAGCGCUUUUAUUAGACCAAGACCAAUCGGACUUCGGUCCGAAGCUCAUGGUGACUCUGGAUAACUUUGGGCUGAUCGCACGGUCUCGUACCGGCGACGCAUCUUUCAAGUGUCUGCCUUAUCAACUUUCGAUGGUAGGUUAUGCGCCUACCAUGGUCGUAACGGGUAACGGGGAAUCAGGGUUCGAUUCCGGAGAGGGAGCCUGAGAAACGGCUACCACAUCCAAGGAAGGCAGCAGGCGCGCAAAUUACCCACUCCCGGCACGGGGAGGUAGUGACGAAAAAUAACAAUACGGGACUCUAUUGAGGCCCCGUAAUUGGAAUGAGUACACUCUAAAUCCUUUAACGAGGAUCUAUUGGAGGGCAAGUCUGGUGCCAGCAGCCGCGGUAAUUCCAGCUCCAAUAGCGUAUAUUAAAGUUGUUGCGGUUAAAAAGCUCGUAGUUGGAUCUCAGUUCCAGACGGGUGGUCCACCCCUGGUGGUUACUGCCUGGCCUGAACAAAUCCAGCCGGUUUUCCUUGAUGCUCUUCACCGAGUGUCUUGGGUGACCGGCACGUUUACUUUGAAAAAAUUAGAGUGCUCAAAGCAGGCGUGACGCCUGAAUAAUGGUGCAUGGAAUAAUGGAAUAGGACCUCGGUUCUAUUUUGUUGGUUUUCGGAACACGAGGUAAUGAUUAAGAGGGACAGACGGGGGCAUUCGUAUUGCGACGCUAGAGGUGAAAUUCUUGGACCGUCGCAAGACGAACUACU